UACGGGGGGAGCAAGCGUUGUUCGGAUUUACUGGGCGUAAAGGGCGCGUAGGCGGUCAGCACAAGUCAGUUGUGAAAUCUCCGGGCUUAACUCGGAAAGGUCAACUGAUACUGUGCGACUAGAGUGCAGAAGGGGCAACUGGAAUUCUCGGUGUAGCGGUGAAAUGCGUAGAUAUCGGGAGGAAUACCAGUGGCGAAGGCGGCUGCCUGGCCUGUUCUUGACGCUGAGGCGCGAAAGCUGGGGGAGCAAACGGG
rnacentral:rRNA from 1 species